rnacentral:rRNA from 1 species
GCUGAGAGGAGGGUGCAUGGCCGUCGUCAGUUCGUACUGUGAAGCAUCCUGUUAAGUCAGGCAACGAGCGAGACCCACGCCAACAGUUGCCAGCUCGUCCUCCGGGAUGGAGGGGACACUGUUGGGACCGCCUCUGCUAAAGAGGAGGAAGGAAUGGGCAACGGUAGGUCAGCAUGCCCCGAAUUAAUUGGGCUACACGCGGGCUACAAUGGGUGGGACAAUGGGUAUCGACACCGAAAGGUGAAGGCAAUCUCCUAAACCCAUCCGUAGUUCGGAUUGUGGGCUGCAACUCGCCCACAUGAAGCUGGAAUCUGUAGUAAUCGUGUUUCAAAAUAGCACGGUGAAUAUGUCCCUGCUCCUU